rnacentral:lncRNA from 1 species
AUUUCUUCAAACUGCCCACCAAGUUACUAUGGCCCUUCCAAUGACGGCCAGCCGUAAAGGAAAAAGAAACGGGACUACCUACUCCCAUGGAAUGGAUAGUGGGUAACAAGAACCUCUGAGGAAAUAAAUAGCUGUGUGACAG